GUUUCAUUUGAUAUUGUGUACAACGAACAUGCAAUACCAACAAUUGUUAAUAAUAUUCGCAUUCAUCGGAAUAGAAACAGAAAAAAUCGUUGGCAUUGAUCUAAGUGCAGAGAGUAGUGAACAAUUUGCAGAGACAAAAAUUAAUAACGAUGAUUUUAAAUUCAGUAACAGAUUUGAUGAAGAAGGUUUCAAUAAAGAACCUAAUGGUGUGUCUAUAAUUCUACAAAAUAGACAGACAAUCGAUACAAACGGCGGUGAUGAAGAUGGAAUUUGGUUAGAUGAAAAAACAUCUAUGGAUCAAGAGUUGUCAAAUGGUAAUUCUCUCCCAAAUAGUAACAGUCUUCAAUUUAUAGAAAAUCAUCUAAAGACAGCCGCAGAUCUUAGUGAAACAUCCCCAUUGCCUAAUGAGGAGGAGUCCACUACGAAAUCACCAUUACUAAAAGUGCCUUCCCCAAAGAAAACCAACAAAAAACGAAAAAAAAGGAAACAAAAGAAGAAAGGUCGCCAAAAAAGGCCCAAUAAAAAAAGAAGGCCUAACAAGAAUAAACGACCCA
rnacentral:sRNA from 1 species